rnacentral:rRNA from 1 species
UGCGCAGGCGGACCUAUUAGUCAGUGGUGAAAUCCCGGGGCUCAACUCCGGAGCUGCCAUUGAUACUGUAGGUCUUGAGUUUGGUUGAAGUGGGCGGAAUGUAGCAUGUAGCGGUGAAAUGCAUAGAUAUGCUACAGAACACCGAUCGCGAAGGCAGCUCACUAAACCAAAACUGACGCUCAGGCACGAAAGCGUGGGUAGCGAACAGGAUUAGAUACCCUGGUAGUCC